rnacentral:misc_RNA from 1 species
GCUCUCAAGCGGAAAUGAUUCCUGCACUUUUAAGCAGAAAUAUAAUUAUUGAUCUCACGCCAAUAGACUACAAUGUUGCGCAUUCACUUAUUUUAUUUUGUAAAACUAGCGUAGGGCACAGGAAAACUAGGUUGCAAGCCAGCAAUCAAAAGAGCUAAUAAAUAUGUAAGCUUAGAAGUGCAGGAAUCAUUUCCGCUUGAGAGC